rnacentral:misc_RNA from 1 species
GAACGCAAAUUGCGCUCGAGGCCUCGGCCGAGAGCAUGCCUGCCUCAGUGUCGGUUCCACCCUCGCCUCACCUCCCAUCCGGCUGCGUGAGAGCGGACCUGGCCGUCCCGAUCCUGGCGAUCGGGUCGGCUGAAGCGCAGAGGCUUGAGCGGGAGUCCCUCCAAUGUGGGAACAACAGACCGGUAGGUGAGCCGUCCUCUCUCCGGAGAGGCGAUCGCAUGCCGCUGCUGGGCCCCGGGACCCCGCUGGACGCCGAGCAGGAGACGGUGCGGCUCGCGACGGGGGAGACCCCGUCGCGGCGACCGAAUCAUCCAUUCGACCUGAGUUCAGGCAAGGGCACCCGCUGAACUUAAG